CUGACGGAGCAACGCCGCGUGAGUGAUGAAGGUUUUCGGAUCGUAAAGCUCUGUUGUUAGGGAAGAACAAGUGCCGUUCAAAUAGGGCGGCACCUUGACGGUACCUAACCAGAAAGCCACGGCUAACUACGUGCCAGCAGCCGCGGUAAUACGUAGGUGGCAAGCGUUGUCCGGAAUUAUUGGGCGUAAAGGGCUCGCAGGCGGUUUCUUAAGUCUGAUGUGAAAGCCCCCGGCUCAACCGGGGAGGGUCAUUGGAAACUGGGGAACUUGAGUGCAGAAGAGGAGAGUGGAAUUCCACGUGUAGCGGUGAAAUGCGUAGAGAUGUGGAGGAACACCAGUGGCGAAGGCGACUCUCUGGUCUGUAACUGACGCUGAGGAGCGAAAGCGUGGGGAGCGAACAGGAUUAGAUACCCUGGUAGUCCACGCCGUAAACGAUGAGUGCUAAGUGUUAGGGGGUUUCCGCCCCUUAGUGCUGCAGCUAACGCAUUAAGCACUCCGCCUGGGGAGUACGGUCGCAAGACUGAAACUCAAAGGAAUUGACGGGGGCCCGCACAAGCGGUGGAGCAUGUGGUUUAAUUCGAAGCAACGCGAAGAACCUUACCAGGUCUUGACAUCCUCUGACAAUCCUAGAGAUAGGACGUCCCCUUCGGGGGCAGAGUGACAGGUGGUGCAUGGUUGUCGUCAGCUCGUGUCGUGAGAUGUUGGGUUAAGUCCCGCAACGAGCGCAACCCUUGAUCUUAGUUGCCAGCAUUCAGUUGGGCACUCUAAGGUGACUGCCGGUGACAAACCGGAGGAAGGU
rnacentral:rRNA from 1 species